UUAAGUGACGAAUUGGUGGUCAUC
rnacentral:siRNA from 1 species